UGGAUCGCCCUUAGAGUUUGAUCCUGGCUCAGGACGAACGCUGGCGGCGUGCCUAACACAUGCAAGUCGAACGGACCGAUUUUCCGGAACCUUCGGGGGAAGGGAAAGAAGGUUAGUGGCGGACGGGUGAGUAACACGUGGGCAAUCUGCCCUUUAGACUGGGAUAACACCGGGAAACCGGUGCUAAUACCGGAUGAGAUCUUUUGGUGGCAUCACCGGAAGAUGAAAGGAGGCCUCUCGAAGAAGCUCCCGCUAAAGGAUGAGCCCGCGGCCCAUUAGCUGGUUGGUAGGGUAAUGGCCUACCAAGGCGACGAUGGGUAGCCGGCCUGAGAGGGUGAACGGCCACACUGGGACUGAGACACGGCCCAGACUCCUACGGGAGGCAGCAGUGGGGAAUAUUGCGCAAUGGGGGAAACCCUGACGCAGCAACGCCGCGUGAACGACGAAGGCCUUCGGGUCGUAAAGUUCUGUCAAGUGGGACGAAGGCUGCAUUGUGAACAGCGAUGCAGAUGACGGUACCUAAAGAGGAAGCUCCGGCUAACUACGUGCCAGCAGCCGCGGUAAUACGUAGGGAGCGAGCGUUGUCCGGAAUUACUGGGCGUAAAGGGCGCGUAGGCGGCCGAUUAAGUUAGAUGUGAAAAACCGGGGCUCAACUCCGGGAUGGCAUUUAAGACUGGUCGGCUUGAGGGUGAGAGAGGAAAGUGGAAUUCCUAGUGUAGCGGUGAAAUGCGUAGAUAUUAGGAGGAACACCAGUGGCGAAGGCGACUUUCUGGCUCAUACCUGACGCUGAGGCGCGAAAGCGUGGGGAGCAAACAGGAUUAGAUACCCUGGUAGUCCACGCCGUAAACGAUGAGUACUAGGUGUAGGAGGUAUCGACCCCUUCUGUGCCGCAGCUAACGCAUUAAGUACUCCGCCUGGG
rnacentral:rRNA from 1 species